rnacentral:rRNA from 1 species
CCUACGGGUGGCAGCAGUAGGGAAUAUUGCGCAAUGGGGGCAACUCUGACGCAGCAACGCCGCGUGGAGGAUGAAGGUUUUCGGAUUGUAAACCUCUUUUGAUCGAGACGAUAAUGACGGUAUCUUACAAAUAAGCACCGGCUAACUCCGUGCCAGCAGCCGCGGUAAUACGGAGGGUGCAAGCGUUACUCGGAAUCACUGGGCGUAAAGGGAGAGUAGGCGGGAUAGCAAGGCAGUGGGGAAAUCCCAGGGCUUAACCAUGGAACUGCCUUUGUAACUGUUAGUCUAGAGUUAUGGAGAGGAUAGUGGAAUUCUUAGUGUAGAGGUGAAAUUCGUAGAGAUUAGGUAGAAUACUAGUGGCGAAGGCGACUUUCUGGAUCUACACUGACGCUGAGGCGCGAAAGCGUGGGGAGCAAACAGGAUUAGACACCCCAGUAGUC